CCCUAUUCUGUUAGUGUCUUACCCUAAAAUAAGAAAGAGGCCGGACAAGUUACAAAGCUGGACGAUCUCGCGGGUCCCCGGUACGUAGCCCCUUCCUCGAAUCGAGGUUUCCGCUCGGGUACACAGUCUAGAACAAAUACCCAGACUUAAACUUAGAAUAAAAAUACCUCAUGCCGGAUCCCUAGUAGGAACACUUAUCUGCAUCAUGAAUUUGACUUAGGGGACUCAACGCAGGGGUUGAGUCCGUCUAGGACAGGUGUACCC
rnacentral:lncRNA from 1 species